UCACAGCAAUCCUCCUGCCUCAGCCUCCCAAGUGCUAGGAUUACAGGUGUGAGCCACCACACCCGGCUUGGCUGCUUCUUGCACUGUGCCAUAUCCUCUGACCCCUCAUUAGACCUCAUCUCCCCUGUUUACACCCUGGCUAAUUUCCCCAGCCCAAAGCCCUUUAUUUAUUCAUUUCUGCAAAGUCACUUUUGCUACCAAAAUAACAUUCACAGGUUCAGAGGACUGGAAUGUGAGCGUUCUGGGAGAAAGGGGAUUCCGCCCGCCCUGUCAUUCCUCCAACCCCCAAGCUAUGCAUCUGUGCAGAGAAUGUUCAUCUCGCCCAAGGGCCCCCACGCUGCAUUGCAGCGCAGCUUCAACUCAGUCCAAAAACCUCAUCUAACUCUCAUCACCUCCAUCUGGCAUGGGGGAGCUCCAGGUACCAUCCAUCCUGAGUGCAUUCCUCCUGUUCACCUGUGGACCUAGAGAACUCAUGAAGCAAGUUACCUCCUCCCAGAACAAUGGGCAGCAACCUGGAGGGUGCAGUCUAGUUCUCUUCUGAUCCAAGGGAGCCGGGCAAGACAUGGGCAAGAAAGAUUGGCAGCUGAGAUCUGCAGCUCCCUGGGCUGGACCCCUGGAAGGAGGGCUCAGAGCUGCUGCCCUCAGCACUUGUGGAGGCUUCCCAUGUGGGGACCCUGGAGGCCUGAGGACUAGGAGUAUGGGGCUCCCCACCCCCAAGGCCUUCGGAGCGGGGGGAAAGCGGAGGGUGAAGAACCUGAUGUGGAGAAAUCGGGCUCGUCUACGUCCCGGGCAUCCUGGACCUUCUGUGCUGGGCUGCUGUCAAGGGUGUUGAGAGCCGCGGAGUGUUUCUCCUCUGAGAUGCCCCGCUGCC